rnacentral:rRNA from 1 species
UAGGUCCUACGGGACGCAGCAGUGGGGGAUAUUGCACAAUGGGGGAAACCCUGAUGCAGCGACGCCGCGUGAGUGAAGAAGUAUUUCGGUAUGUAAAGCUCUAUCAGCAGGAAAGAAAAAAGACGGUACCUGACUAAGAAGCCCCGGCUAACUACGUGCCAGCAGCCGCGGUAAUACGUAGGGGGCAAGCGUUAUCCGGAUUUCCUGGGUGUAAAGGGAGCGUAAACGGCAAUACACGUCGGAAGUGAAAUACCCGGGCUCAACCUGGGAACUGCUUUGGAAACUGUAUGGC